GGGAUUAGCUAGUAGGUAGGGUAAUGGCUUACCUAGGCGACGAUCCCUAGCUGGUCUGAGAGGAUGACCAGCCACACUGGAACUGAGACACGGUCCAGACUCCUACGGGAGGCAGCAGUGGGGAAUAUUGCACAAUGGGCGCAAGCCUGAUGCAGCCAUGCCGCGUGUAUGAAGAAGGCCUUCGGGUUGUAAAGUACUUUCAGUCAGGAGGAAGGGUGUGAAAUUAAUACUUUCAUGCAUUGACGUUACUGACAGAAGAAGCACCGGCUAACUCCGUGCCAGCAGCCGCGGUAAUACGGAGGGUGCAAGCGUUAAUCGGAAUUACUGGGCGUAAAGCGCACGCAGGCGGUUUGUUAAGUCAGAUGUGAAAUCCCCGGGCUCAACCUGGGAACUGCAUUUGAAACUGGCAAGCUU
rnacentral:rRNA from 6 species